rnacentral:rRNA from 1 species
GGAGGAAGGCGGGGACGACGUCAAGUCAUCAUGGCCCUUACGACCAGGGCUACACACGUGCUACAAUGGUAGGUACAGAGGGCAGCUACACAGCGAUGUGAUGCGAAUCUCAAAAAGCCUAUCGUAGUCCAGAUUGGAGUCUGCAACUCGACUCCAUGAAGUAGGAAUCGCUAGUAAUCGCGGAUCAGAAUGCCGCGGUGAAUACGUUCCC